GACAGAGGGUGCAAACGUUGUUCGGAUUUACUGGGCGUAAAGCGCGCGUAGGCGGCUUUGCAAGUCGGGUGUGAAAUCCCCAGGCUUAACCUGGGAACUGCAUUCGAGACUGCAUUGCUAGAGUAUGGGAGAGGGAAGUGGAAUUUCCGGUGUAGCGGUGAAAUGCGUAGAUAUCGGAAGGAACAUCAGUGGCGAAAGCGACUUCCUGGACCAAUACUGACGCUCAUGUGCGAAAGCGUGGGGAGCAAACAG
rnacentral:rRNA from 1 species